UUUAAUCACUGGGGUAUGUCUUUGGUGUGCAACGUGAGGGGUGACAAAGGUUCAAGACUGAACCAGCAUGUUUACCAUAAUCUUCCUAAAAUGUUUUCUUAGCUGCUUCACAAAAACAGGAAUGAACUAGCAGAGAAGAAAGACUUUCUCUCCCCCAGGAAAAGAGUACAAAGCCAAGCCUGUACACAGCAGAUGCAAAAGAAAGUCCAUCUGCUACCAGCUCACAACACCACAUGGAGUUUUAAGAUUUUAUACUGUAGGUAGCCUGGCAGUGUUUGUGUAGACACCAUCAGAAUAAAAGGAGGGGAAAUCCUAGCCUCAAAGUGUCAGUGUAAAAAAAAAAAAAAAACUACAGCUACCACUCUCCCAAAACUGGCUACGUUCACUCUAUCAAAGACUUGUUUGCAUUUUUUUUUCUUUGACUCGUGUUGCAAGAGCUGGAUUGUUCCCUAGGAGUUACACCCUAGGCAGACAUUCUGCUUACUUUUAUGGCCCUGAACCAAGGGAAAAAGGCAAAGUGGAAGUUACAGCUUCAGGCUGAGACAAGUGGACAAACUUUAAUUGCACAGCACAGAACGUAUCCUGCCCCUACAAUCUGUAUCGUCCAACAACCUGCUGCAUCUCAAAAGACCAACAUCUGCAUCUACUUUCAUCAGCGUUCAAUUACAAAACUGAGGAGGGGAAGGUGCACCAACUACUUAAAGUAACUAUGUCUAAUAGCCUUUAAUACAGACAUUUUCAAUAAUUACAGCUAAUUUCACAUUUCACCUUCAACCCCCCCAGGGUAUAUUUUCCACCUCCUAUGAACUAUGCUGAAAUAAACUUUUUCUUUUAGACUUA